CCAAAUAAUCCUUUUCAUUUUUUUUCAACAGCGGCCCAAAUGCUCAAUUACGUACAUUUUAUGAUGAUGAUAAAUGAACGAACAGUUGGUGAAUACAGUGAAGAGGAGAUACUUGAGGCAAACAAAGAACUCAAUGAAGACGUAAAGCCCGAGCUCAAGGAAUUUGCACGAUGUGGUAUUGAGUUCAUUGACCAUUCUUUUGGACUAUUUCCUGCCUCUCUUGACCUGGAGGAAAACUUAAAAUCAAAAGCUGCCAUUUAGAUGCGGGAAAGCAUUUUCAUGUCAUUGAUAGAGCCAAUCGAUGACUCAAGAACUUAAAUUGUUCUGGUUUUGAACGCUGAGGUGGAGAUCGAUGCGGUGACUUCUCGAGGAGUCUUUCAUUUCUACAUGUUUGGUCAAC